rnacentral:RNase_P_RNA from 1 species
GAGGAAAGUCUGGACCUUACUUCUUUAUUGGUGAAAUCCCAACUUUUUAUUAUCUAUGAGUAAAAGUAUAAAAUAUUUCAAGGAUAGUCUCUCGUGGAUAUACGGUCACCGAUACACCAAGAGGGUAUAAUAAAAAGUGGAAAGUGUCACAGAAAAAAUUGAGUUCAGAAAUCUCAGUGGAAACGGCAACCCAUAAAAAAGGCAAGAAAUUUUUUAUUUUAAAACGCUUAAUUCUUCUGAUAACAAAAGAAUGAGAUAAAUAAUCGCUAAAAACAGAACCCGGCUUAU